AUGUCAGUGCAGGAGGAGGAGUGUGGAUGUGGUCUGAUGGAUCCACAUUCGACUACAAAAGCUGGGCUUGGGGGCAGCCUGACAACAAAGGUGGAGAUGAGAACUGUCUUCAGAUGAACUAUAAG